AUAUCAAUAAGCGGAGGAAAAGAAACUAACAAGGAUUCCCCUAGUAACUGCGAGUGAAGCGGGAAAAGCUCAAAUUUAAAAUCUGGUGGCCUUUGGUCGCUCGAGUUGUAAUUUAGAGAAGCGUCUUCCGCGCUGGACCGUGCACAAGUCUCCUGGAAUGGAGCGUCAUAGAGGGUGAGAAUCCCGUCUUUGGCACGGAUGCACCAGGGCUUUCGUGAUGCGCUCUCAAAGAGUCGAGUUGUUUGGGAAUGCAGCUCAAAAUGGGUGGUGAACUCCAUCUAAAGCUAAAUAUUGGCGAGAGACCGAUAGCGAACAAGUACCGUGAGGGAAAGAUGAAAAGCACUUUGGAAAGAGAGUGAAACAGUACGUGAAAUUGUUGAAAGGGAAACACUUAAAGUCAGUCGCGUCGACCGAGACUCAGCCUUGCUUUGGCUUGGUGUUCUUCUCGGCCGACGGGUCAGCAUCAAUUUUGCCCCUCGGAUAAUGGCAAGAGAAAGGUAGCACCUUUACGGGUGUGUUAUAGUCUCCUGUCGCAUGCGAGGGUCAGGAUUGAGGAACUCAGCACGCGCCUCUUGGUGUCGGGGCUUCGGCCCACGCUACGUGCUUAGGAUGCUGGCGUAAUGGCUUUAAAUGACCCGUCUUGAAACACGGACCAAGGAGUCUAACAUGCCCGCGAGUGUUCGGGUGGAAAACCCGUGCGCGUAAUGAAAGUGAAAGUUGGGACCCCUGUCGUGGGGGGCACCGACGCCCGGACCAGACCUUCUGUGACGGAUCUGCGGUAGAGCGUGCAUGUUGGGACCCGAAAGAUGGUGAACUAUGCCUGAAUAGGGUGAAGCCAGAGGAAACUCUGGUGGAGGCUCGUAGCGAUUCUGACGUGCAAAUCGAUCGUCAAAUUUGGGUAUAGGGGCGAAAGACUAAUCGAACCAUCUAGUAGCUGG
rnacentral:rRNA from 1 species